GCCGGAGCGCAUCCUCGCCCGGGGAGGCGAUGGAGGCGCAGGUUGAUGAACGGGGUGGGGACUGACCCCAGAGGAUUUAGUGAGGGAGAAAAAUCACAGGCCGUGGUCGUGCUGAGACAACAGUAAUUGCCUGAACUCAGCCACGCGCUUUCUUUUACCUUCUCCUUUUCCAGGCUGCCCCUUCCUGGAGACUUUCCGGAUCUCCACAGACCUGUUUGUCCCUCCGUCAUCUCUUCUACCUGCUUUAGUGCGUCCAGCAGCGCUCCUCUUCCUCGGGGCAGUGGAAUUUGAUCCUCAGAUGUUUCUUCACUAUUCAUAUAUACCAGUUGAAGCCAGAGGAACAUCUACAAGAGCAGAGAAACCAGGAGGAGAAUUCUGCCUAUUUAAUACAUUCGAAUGUGGACGGUCUCCUUUUAUUUUAAAAAAUAUAUAUCAUCAGCUGGGGAAAAAGUGAAACUCCCGUGUACCUCUUAAUUUGUGUUUUUUUCCAAAAUCUGUACCCAGCAACUCUGUGCCUUUUUUAUUUGGCUGUAAGCCACGGUACUGGAGGCAGGCUUGAAGUGGAUAUACAGAGCACCUUUAAGCCAGAAAUUAAUCUCACAACUUGGGAUCCUUGUUUAAGACGUGACUGUAUCUACAAUUUCACUUACAGGAUCUCUUUUUGCCAGUAUCUAGUUUUGUUGUAAAGCUGGUCUUGGGAGGUAAACUAGGAAGCGUAACAAGAAAUUUAAGAAGGUUGGGCAGGCAGGAGUGGCUAUACAUGUACCUGGAGAGCAUGAUACCCAAGCUAUAAAUGGUCGAAAGACCAUGGGAACCACUUCUGAGCCACCCAAAAGAAGCCUGCUUUAUAUGAAAAAGGGGCCUAGAGACAGAGUGUAUGAGUUGUUUUUACUUUAAAUUUUCUUUUUUUGGUGGGGGGGGGAAGGGGGAUGAAUAAUGUGAUAAAGAUACGGGAAUUUUAAGUACCAACAUUGGAAGUAGCUGGAGGUGGGGUGGGGCUGAGAAAUAGUUUGUGAAACAGACCGGCUGCUAACGGAUCCAGAACUUCCCUGAGGGUUCCACCUCUGCUCUAUAGGGACAAGGUUGUAAAUAGACAAGCCCCAGGGCAUCUGCAGAUGAUAAGUGUGGUAGAGAAGGAUUGGAGUCGUUCUGCUUGUGUAUCUGUGGGAAGCAGCUGCUAUCCUUGAGGAAGAAAAGGUGGAGAAGGAAACUGGCUAUCAGUCUGUCAGUAACAACACAUCCUGUGAAGUCUUACUCUUUCAUUUCUGACACUUUGGUUCUUACAUCCGUCCUAAACCUGGCAGCCUCAUUGAGGUUCACAGAGCAUCUCCUCCUAUGUGACAGUAAGACUGGAAUUAUUAUCAGGAUGGAAUCUAUUCCUGCCAGAGUAAAACCACGAGAGGAAAUCACACAGAGCAACUGGGGAACCUAAUUCUGACCAACAAGGAGGAAUUGCCUGGCUAAUUGGAAGUGACAGAAACCUUGGGAGAAAGCAACCACAUACCAAGGAUAAUUAUAAGAAGACAGAGGAGAAGACACAGAGAAGAGGUGGCCAUGUGACCACGGAGGCUAAGGUUGGAGUAAUGUGGCCACAAGUGAAGGAAUGGUGACAGCCAGCAGAAGCUAGAAGAAGCAAAAACCAGGUUUUAUCCUAGAUCCUUCAGUAGAAGUACAGCCCUGCUAACAUCUUGACUUCAGACUUCUGGCCUCGGAACUAUAAAAUAAUAAAUUUCGGUUGUUUUAAGUCACCAGUCUGUGGCAGUUUGUUAUG